GGAGGGAUGGCUGAGUGGCUUAAGGCAUUGGUUUGCUAAAUCUUCUUUUAUCAUGGGUUCGAAUCCCAUUUCCUCCG
rnacentral:tRNA from 1 species